GAGCAACUUAGGAUUUUAGGCUCCCCGGCGUGUCUCGAACCAUGCCGGGCCAAACCCACGGGGGCUGGCGGUCCCCGUGCGGUCAAAAUCAAACCGCUGGAG
ncrna:unclassified sequences PreQ1-III riboswitch